UACGGGGGGGGCAAGCGUUGUUCGGAAUUACUGGGCGUAAAGGGCUCGUAGGCGGCCAACUAAGUCAGACGUGAAAUCCCUCGGCUUAACCGGGGAACUGCGUCUGAUACUGGAUGGCUAGAGGUUGGGAGAGGGAUGCGGAAUUCCAGGUGUAGCGGUGAAAUGCGUAGAUAUCUGGAGGAACACCAACGGCGAAGGCAGCACUCUGGGCCGGUAUUGACGCUGAGGAGCGAAAGCGUGGGGAGCAAACAGG
rnacentral:rRNA from 1 species